GCCGGUGAUGAUUUAAUCCAAUUUGUUUGAGGUGUUGUGGAACCAAGUCCCUGUUUUCAGGGUGAACCUCUUGGUGAAGCUUCAUUCAUAUGAUAAAAGUGGAUUUUACUGAGAC